CCUACGGGAGGCAGCAGUGGGGAAUAUUGCACAAUGGGGGAAACCCUGAUGCAGCGACGCCGCGUGAGCGAGGCAGUAUUUCGGUAUGUAAAGCUCUAUCAGCAGGGACGAAAAAAGACGGUACCUGACUAAGAAGCCCCGGCUAACUACGUGCCAGCAGCCGCGGUAAUACGGAGGGGGCAAGCGUUAUCCGGAUGUACUGGGUGUAAAGGGAGCGUAGGCGGUUCAGCAAGUCAGAAGUGAAAGCCCGGGGCUCAACUCCGGGACUGCUUUUGAAACUGUUGAACUAGAUUGCAGGAGAGGUAAGUGGAAUUCCUAGUGUAGCGGUGAAAUGCGUAGAGAUUAGGAGGAACACCAGUGGCGAAGGCGGCUUACUGGACUGUAAAUGACGCUGAGGCUCGAAAGCGAGGGGAGCAAACAGGAUUAGAUACCCUAGUAGUC
rnacentral:rRNA from 1 species